GAUUCGGUGGCGGAUGGUCCGCGCCUGUCACUUCUAUAGUUGAGCACAAAACACUGAGAUUCAGCAGAAGUCGCCCGUUCGAUUCGGGUCCGAAUCA